rnacentral:lncRNA from 1 species
CAUCUUGUUAACGAUCUUCUGGCGUGAAUCAGGUGGCAACUGUUUUCUCCACUCACCAUUGUUAAUGGCUGCAGAUUCUCCAUUUGGAAUGGAAAGUCUCCAGUUGUUGUUAUCCAUCAAGUGUUCCUACGUUCGCAAACCAUGAUAACCAAAACAUGAUGCUCAUAUCCCAAAAAAAAAAACUACAAGAAACAAACGACCACACAGAAGAUGGAUUAUUAUUAUUCACACUCAUAAUUUCUCAAUAUAUGUCGCUUUCCUUUUUUUUCAUUUGUGCCAAAUAAUCAGACCAGACAGGAUAAUAAUAAUAGAAAGUUUGAGACAUCAGAAAUUAAAUAAGGAAUCACCAACCCUGAAGAAAAUCAAAACAAGUUGUGUUCACUGAUCAGCCAAAAUUUUCAUUUUUUUUAAUUACCAGCUUUGUCUCCUGUCCGUAGCAGAAAGUCACAUACAGUACAGCUUGCCGAGACUCCGACCACAAGAUAAAACUCGAAAGCAACAGAUGGAAACCAAAAAAAAAAAAAAAAAAACGAGAUUCGAAAAUUUCACCUACAAUUUUUAAAGUGUGUCGAGGCGAUUUCGCGGUUGCUACAAACGAUUAGAGUCUGCCUUUAGGAAAAAAAAAAGGAGUUAAAUUAGGGUUUAGGUUGAUCGAGAAAUGAAAUUGAAGAAUAUAUAAAAGAAUGUUUCUGGGCAAACGCAGAGGAAGGAAACUUCAUGCGUCUUAAGCUGACAACUGUGUCCCCUCAACUUCGCUUAUAAGUUAUGACCAAAGUUUUCAAUGUCGUCGCGCUGCUUUUUAAAUUACCACUAACCCCCUCCAAUUAAACAUAAAUUACAAGGUCCACUGUGUAUAAUAAAUAUGUUGAGAAAGUUCCCUACGACGACGUUUCAAUAUCGGUACGAGCUGUUAGCGCGUAGCCGCGUAUCAACCAAUUACCAAGAACGAAAUAAUUUGAAUAUUUUAGAGUUAACAUAAACCGUUUCCUUUAGCUUUGCAAGUUUUUAGAAUCUAAUUCUCUGAGUAGAUACUGAUUUCGGUGAUCACUAGCAGAGUUUAAUGUACUUAUGUACAUAAUAAACAAAGUAAUGGACUUCUCAUCUUUUUCAUUCGAUCGACUAGAAAAACAUGCGACUAUAAAAAGUCAAUGAGCAAGCAACACACACAGGAAGUCUUAAAGAUUUUGCAAGAAAGACCACAACUCAAAGUUUCAGUAAAAUACAGACAACUUUUAGAGGGAGAUGAAAUCAACUUUGUAGACUUAAAAGAACAACUUUCUAGACAGACCAAAAUUCACAGAGAAGAGCCACAAAAGGGGCAGAAACGGAACUCAGGCUCCACGACUCGAUCGCAGAAACGGCACGUAGCUAGAGAUAUCGGCGGAGGGAAAAACAGAUCGCAGUCUCUACAAUGGAGUACUUGAUCUUUCCCGGGCCAUCUCCAGACAGGAACAAAGAACAGCUUCAAGACUUUGUCGUAAUCCACCAAAUCGGCCUCCGAGCCACAUCUUAUGCACUUUCCGGCGCCGGAUUUGAGCACCUGCCUCACCUGUUGCCCUAAUCCACCAGCGAAGAAAAAGAACAUCCUCUGUUUUCAGAAUUACCUGAGAUCUCCUUUUUUUUUUUAAGCUCUUCAGACACUUGUGCAGGGUUCACAAGAAAAACUUGUUAAGAUUUCAGAUUAAGGGGAAGAUAUAAUUUAGUCUAUCUUCUAGUUGUUUCUAGCAGAGGUAAGAUAAGAACAUAACUUUUGAUUUUGCCAUGUUCUAGGUGUUUCCAGCCCUUGUAAGAAACAUAGUCUUGGUUUCCGAUUUUUUUUUUUUUUUGUCUUUUUUGGUUUGGCCAACAUCCAAUAGAAUACAUGGAUGAUCAGCAGAUAAUUAAGUACCUGGUUAACAGCACCGCUGAAAUUAAAUUUUCUCCUCGAACCUGGCAGCAAUUCUCCUGAGCUCGUUAAUUCCUUCUGGUCCAGAGUGAGGAAGGUGCCUGCUUAGUGUUUCCAAGUAAAUAGAGUAAGAAAAACAGAAGUAAAGGUCAAAGAAGUGUAACACCCAUGUAUUUCUGAUGAAACACUUUGCAGAAGCUUAAUAACAACACCAGGUAAUAUUAAUAUUAAAUAAACUUACAUCUUGUUAGCGAUCUUCUGGCGUGAAUCAGGUGGCAAUUGAUUUCUCCACUCACCAUUGUUCAUGGCUGCAGAUUCUCCAUUUAGAAUGGAAGGUCUCCAAUUGUUGUUAUCCAUCAAGUGUUCCUAAGUUUACAAACCAUGAUAAGAAGAUAACCAAAACAUGAUGCGCAUAUCGCAAGGAAAAAAAAAACUACAAGAAGCAGACAACCACACAGAAGAUGAAUUAUUAUUAUUCACACUCAUAAUUUCUCAAUAUAUGUCGCUUUCCUUUUUUCCAUUUAUGCCAAAUAAUCAGACCAGCCAGGAUAAUAGUAAUAGCAAGUUUGAGACAUAGCUUGAGAAUCACAAUCUCUCGUUCCUAGGUGAAGAUGUUAUGCAGCUGAAUUCUAGGGUAUAUGAGCAUAUUCACUCAUCAGAGUAGCUACAUAGCAGGUUGAUCCUGAACCGGAAGUAGCAAAAUACCCAAACAUGUAUUGAAUUAGGAGAGAUUGGAUAUCCGAACCCGAACAGAUAAUAUCCAAACCCGAAUGAAUAUCCAAAAAUAACCGAACAUAAAUAUAUAUAUAUAUAUAUAUAUAACCUUAUAUUUUUAAUAUAAAUCGUUUAUUUUAUUUAAAAUAUUUAUAUUGAUGUUACACUACUUUAAAAUCAUAUAAUAUGCAUAUAAGUACAUAUAAAAUGAUAUGAUACUCUAUAGGUUUCUUGUGUAAAGCCAUAUUCUUUCUACAUUGAUCAAUAAAUUUCACAUUUCAUAAAAAAAAGGUUUGAUAGUCACUUUAAAUGCAUGUCAAGCUUUUUAUUUUAUGUAUUAACAAAAGUUACAUCCAUUUUUUUUUUAAAAAUGACCAAAUUAUUUAUUUUUGCAAUGUUAUCUCCAAAUCUAUUAAUCACUCAAUCUAUUAAAAAUAAAAAAAAAUCAGUUGAGUGAAAAUUAUAUUUUUAAAUACAAGAAACUUAAAACAAUGAAAAAAAUAAUUUUUUAUUUUAAAAUCUAAAUAUCCGAACCCAACCCGAAAUAACCGAAUCUGAUUUAAAAAUAUUCGAAGCCGAUCCAAAAUACAAAAAUACCCAAACGGGUUCUAUAUCCCUAUGCCAAAAUACCUAAAAAUCUGAAAUACCCGACCCGAACGACCAAUUAGAAUUAGUAAGAACGAAAUAAUUGAAUAUUAGAGUCAACAUAAACCUAUUUUAAUAAGUGAUAACUCUAAUAGUUUUUCCUUUCACCAAAAACAACAUAUGUUUUUUUUUUUUUUUCAAUUUGAAAUUCCACCUAACGAACAGAAACAAUGGUUACAACAGUGAUUUAGUGAUUUAAGUAAAACCCCAACGACUUAGGACUGUCUUUCUCCGAAACACACAGUCGAGUUACUUCGCAAGCUCGGACUCAAUUCUAACAAAUGACACACAGCCAGACCGCUUAUCAUAAUCUUGAAUCCGAUUUCUAUGAUCACCGGCUUGUCCCGGUUAAUCGGGACGGGAGAACAUAGUCUCCACUUUCUCCUCACCAAUGAACCGUUCCGACUUCUGCAUUUUAAUGGAUUUGUAAAUCUAAACUAAAUGUAGUGUUAUUGGUUCUAUUAUUUUAAAAUUCACAUUCAAAUCCAUAGUUAUUGGUUUUAUGAUUUUAAAAUAAAUUUUAGAAUCAUGUGUUAUUCAAUAAUAAAGAUUUGUGUAUGGAUUUAAUUUGCAACUGGAUUUGAUUGGAUUUGUAACUAUUGUUAAGAGUAAAAUACAAAGGAUCAAAUAUUGGGUUUAACCUUGUUAUUUUGGCUGGAUUUGUUUUAUAUUGUUUUUUUUUCAUUCUUUAUACUUUUGUGUCCCAACACACAUCAGUUGAUGCAUUACUUCAAAUUUUAUACAUUGUUUUUUGCUCAUGUUAAAAACAUGCACUAAGCACAUGUCCAUACAAACAUAUUGUAUAAUGCAUACGAUAAUAAAAAGAGAUGCAACGAGAGAUGUAUUCCAUAUGAACGUAUCCCCACAAAUUGUGUGCGACCAGCUUUUGCUGCUUAGCAAAAUGAAAAAGAGGCAAGAAAGAUGAUGAAUGGUGGAGAAGAUAAAGUCGUCGAUAAGUUCCGAGAAUACUCCGUUGAGAUUUCUGAAAAAAUGACAAGUAAAUCUGUUUUGUCAGAAAUUUUUACUUUUGAUCCGAUCAAACUUCCGAUAACAUGGUGAAAAAAUAGUUUGAUCCGAAAUUUCUGAGGAGAUGCCAUGAAAAGUUUGUUCUGAAAAUCCAUGUUUUUGGAAGUUGCAGUCGGAGAACAUAAUGUUCUCUUGUAGUGUUUUAUUUAGGUCUAGUUACAAAUCCAUUGAUUUAUAACAAUUCAUUUAUUUGAUUUUAAAAUACUCAUAUCAAUAAUUCUCACUGGAUUUUUGGAAGAUUUCUAAAUAUAAGGAGAAUUUAUAAAUCCACUAAACUAACAGAACCAAUAACCCCCACUUAAUAAAUCCGACAAAAAUACACAUAACAAACAGAAUCUUGCAUUGCUACAGAUACUAGAAAAACGAGAAACCACUUCUUUAUAUACAAAUAUGUAAAUGCAGUUGCCUUCCCCCUUAUUUGGCUUUAGCUUCCCUCUUCCAUACUCUGCAUCUUCAAGGAUAUUUUGCAAAAGUAGUCCAUCUGAAACUCGAAACCAGCACACAACAUCAAGAAACAAAGGAGAGCAUGAUAUCGAGGAUGUAACUCACUGAGCUUAAUAAAAAAAAAUAGCGUAACCUGAUUUUUUGCGGUGUUGAAAAUCAACUCCUCGAAGCUGACAGCAAUUCUCAUGAGCUCUUCGAUUCCUUCUUCCCCAGAAUAUGGAAGAUUCUUCUUCAGUGUUUCCAAUCUGCCAAAUGGCAAAACUCACUUCUCUAUUUAUAAACAUAUGCAUGGCAAAAUGUUGUAAAACAUUCUACUUCGACAGAGUUUUAUCAUCAAAUUGGCUUUGGGGAAGCAAAAAAGGAGCAAGAGUUGAUAAAUAUGACAAAUUUGGAGGAGGAACAAACUCACAGCGUGUUGACAUUCUUUUGGCGUGAAGCUGGUGGAUGUAGAGUUCUCCAGUCAACUGUGUUUAUGGCAAGAUUACCUAUGUGGACAAAGCAAAGCAUUAACAUCAGGAUUCUAGCUCCAUUUAAAACCUUCAAGAGAAACGAAUCAAGUGGGAAAAUGGAUGCAACUGAUCUCCAACAUCCAUUUAUAAAACCAAGAAAAUGGAUUGCAUCUGCGGAUUUGCUUGACCAUCAUGAGAAUGAUUACCGUUCUGAGAUGACUGUUGCUUCACAGGCUGCAUCUGAGGUUGCGGAAGCUUCCCUUGCUGUACUAGCUUCCUCGGCCUGUGCAUAUUUAAGAAAUCUACAAUCUGCUUCUCAUAAUAAGCCACCCUAUCCCUUAAUGCAGGCACGAUAUUUCUCUUUGAAACCGACAGGAAUUGUAUCAUUCGCUCCACCAUUAUCUUGAAUUGUUUCAAUUUAUUAAACUGCUCUGAUCUUUGUUGCUGCGGAAGAGAAUCCAUCUGGGGAGAAAAAGAAUUGUGCUCAAUAAGAAAAGAGACAACCACAUCCGAUGUGUACUUUCUACUGGACAGUAAUUACACGAGUCUCAAGAGCAUCUUUUGGUGAAAUGGUUUUCAAGACACCAAAGUUGUACGCCUUUCUUUUGCAAUGUCGAACCAGUUUUGCAUUGAAUUCAUAGAGAUUCUCACUCAGAUACUCUACUGUUUCAGAGAACAUACACUCCAACUCUCCUAGAAAAAAAUAUCGCAACUUACUUGCUGCAACUUGGCUAUAACUCUCUGGUAGAUUUCGGUAACAUCUGGUAAGUACGCAUCUUUCAUAAUUUUGAUCUGCAAAGACAAAGCACCGUGGGAACACGAUUACUCAUUACGGGAGGCCGGAAGCAUUACUCAAAAUAGAAAGAAAAAACUACCUUUUGGUAAACCUCCUCUUGCCAAUCAACACCAUUUGCAUUUUCCGUCUGUGCCGUUGAGUCUACCGAUGCUAACAUUUAUAAAAAGUGGGUUUGCUCAGCAUCAGAUCUUGCCGAGGGAUUAUGUAAAGUAUCAGAAACUAAAGUAUUCACAAGGAUGUAGAAAAAGCAUACAUGAUGGCAUCUCCGGAAGGGUUCUUUGGGAUUGAUACAGUUGUCUCUGUUGGUCCACUACAUUUUGGGGUGGAAGCAGGGAACCUGUCACUUGGCCUGAAGAUUGUAGCCUUUGUUGCACAUCCUGUUGUAGCAGAUUGGGUUGUUGUAACUGCUGAUGAUGCGACUGAAGGGGCAUCAUCUGCUGCUGGGAUGGCUGAUUUUGUGACUGUUGUCCCUGAGAAGGAAAUAAGCCAUGGCCAGCCUGGUGUGUUCGUUGCAGUGCAGCGGUUGGCUGUGAUAACAUGUGCACCGACUGCUGGUUAGUCUGGGAACUGAGCAACUGUUGUUGUGGUUGCUGCAGUCCUGCAACAUUGCUUUGAAUGCCCAGUGGUUGCUGCUGAUGAAGGCUGUUUUGUUGAGAUAUGAAUUGCUGCUGGGCCGGUGGGUGUUGAUUCUGCUGCUGUUGCAUGUUCAUAGUAUUAUUUUGUUGGUUCAGUAACCUUUGCUGAUGUUGCUGCUGCAUAGCCCCAACAACAUGCUGCCCCAUCAUCUGCCUCUGUUGGAUGACAGAGCUAUUUGAAGCUUGUUGCCGCAUCAGUUGUGCUUGCUGCUGAGGAGAAAUAGACUGCUGCGGCAAUGAAGUUUGUUGCUGAUGGAUCACAGAGGCUUGUUGUGAUUGCGGAUGUUGCCUUAGCAGCGAUGAUUGAGCAGACACUUGAGGACUUGAUUGUUGAUUUGUGUGGAGACCUUGGAGGGGAGCUGAGCUCACAGCUGAGGGCUGCGUCGCAGAUGUCGUACUACCAGGAUGUAUCUGCGACGGCAAAACCGAAUUGGGAUUGGAAAAGUUCCCUGACCGAAAAUUCUGCCUGAGAAGUUGCUGCUGCUGAGAAGACAUAGUAUGCGGCCUGCGCAACAUCUGCCUAUGGGAUCCUGAAAGCAUGUUGGACGAAAGGCCAUGCUGCCCAGAUGAAUCUUGCAACACUCCGGCUACAUUUUGCAUAUUGGAAUUCUGAUUUACAACACUUGUGACAUUAUCAUUGCCUAUGGAAGAAACAGGCGGUAUGGAAGAUGGUAAACCAGUAGAGCCCGCCAUUCCAGAGGCUGUAUUACUCUGAAUGGUUUGGGACAUCAACGGCUGAGGUGCUUGAGAUUGAUUGUUCGGUAACGUUCCUGGAAGAAGUUGCCCUUGAUUGGCGGGUACUAUUCAAGAAAAAGUUAAACAGCACCAAAUUAAAGAAACAGUCAUCCAAAAGAGCCAGAUAAGAAGAGUUAAGUAACACAUGGUUGAGAAUCAUGAUUACUUGAAUCCAUUGAUGUGGUAUUAUUAGCAGCAGGGGUAGUUGCUGAAGAGCCAGCUGCAUUUUGAGAUUUAGUCUCCAUAGCCAGCAUCUUCAUGGAUAUCUUCCGAAGGUAAUCAGUCUGAAAGCCGAAAUAAAAGAAAAUCAGGGAGGUGUAAAUGGAUUUGAUACCCCAUAGCUUUACUAGUACCAAAACUCGUUCUUCAUCAGGCUGUUAAGAAAAACAUGAAUGUUCAGCAGCUGAUUAAGUACCUGGUUAACAGCACCGCUGAAAAUUUUCUCCUCGAACCUGGCAGCAAUUCUCAUGAGCUCAUUAAUUCCUUCUGGUCCAGAUUGAGGAAGGUGCCUGCUUAGUAUUUCCAUUCUGCGCAUAGAGUAAGAAAAACAGAAGUAAAGGUCAAAAAAGUGUAACAUUUUGGAGACAUAACAUUACAACAAAACCAGUUAAUAUUAAAUAUUAAAUAAACUUACAUCUUGUUAACGAUCUUCUGGCGUGAAUCAGGUGGCAACUGUUUUCUCCACUCACCAUUGUUAAUGGCUGCAGAUUCUCCAUUUGGAAUGGAAAGUCUCCAAUUGUUGUUAUCCAUCAAGUGUUCCUACGUAUACAAACCAUGAUAAGAAGAUAACCAAAACAUGAUGCGCAUAUCGCAAGGAAAAAAAAACUACAAGAAGCAGACAGAAGAUGGAUUAUUAUUAUUCACACUCAUAAUUUCUCAAUAUGCCAAAUAAUCAGACCAGCCAGGAUAAUAAUAAUAGCAAGUUUGAGACAUCAGAAAUUAAAUAAGAAAAUCAAAACAAGUUGUGUUCACUGAUCAGCCAAAUUGUUUUUUUUUUUUUUUUAUUACCAGCUUUGUCUCCUGUCCCUAGCAGAAAGCCACAUACGAAACGAAUAAACAUACUUUAUGACAUGACACAAGCAAAGUUAAUCAAUUCUCCUAAUUAGUAAGAACCGAGAAUCACAAUCUCUA